UCCCAACUCCUUGUCCAUGAAAUAGCCCAAAAUAAUAUGCAAGAACUGCCAGCAAACUUGAUAAAUGCCAACUAUCACUGCCAAAGACUUCAGCUCAUAACCGCCGAACUCUUCCUGCUGCAAAAUGCUUCUCUGCCCACGUCCCCGGAGCCUUCCAUUUAUGUAAUAUUUACAAGAAGAAUGUUUUCACACACAUAUAAUAUAAAUGAGAAUCUGAAGGAUCUAACUGAUACCGAAAUACAAUUAAUGUUUCAUACACACAUUUCUCCAGGGGAAAUCCCUCAAUAUAGAACCAAACAGGAGUGCUGCAAGAAUAUGGUGUUGUGCACAUCUCUCUCGAAUUUCUGAGAAACCAAUGAACUGAUUUGGUAAAUGCCGGCCUCCCCUCCAUCUGACCAGUGUGUGCGGGAUGGCUAGAAGGAAGGUAAACACUGUCCUUGGUAUUUACAGACGGAGGUAAGAGACGUUUAAAAGUCACACUCACCAACCACUAGUCUCUGAAAAAUGUCAGAAAUGUAAAUAGACCCCUUUUUUUACACUAUUUUGGCACUCGUGGCAUUUGUUGACAAAUGUCAUAAGAAUGUCGGAGUUGGAGAAGAACUUAAUCAAACACAGUAACAGUGUUGUUUGACAAAGUAUGGUAUGUAUUACAAAGUUGUGUGCACAAUGUGCAGUAGGCCUAUUCUCAUAAUAGUACUUGUAAUGGCAGUGUAUAGAAAAGUAACAUGGGUCAUAACUUCUAUUGUAUAAAAGUGCCAAUAACAUUGUUCAAUAAACUAAAACAAUUUUUUUUCAGCUCCAAAGUCUUAUUUGUAUCAGUUUAAAUAUCUUCUUUUAUGUAGCUUCUUUAUGUUGAUCUUGUUUUACAGAAAUGCAUUGUUCUAUUACCAAAAAUAAUUGAUGUGGUCAUAUUGUGGUCACAUGCAUUGUAUUGUAAUUGCUUAUUAAUAUUACUUUUUAAUGCGCUACAUUUUGUAAGUGAUCUAAAUAAAAAAGAAUAAAGG
ensembl:lncRNA